UACGAAGGGGGCUAGCGUUGCUCGGAAUCACUGGGCGUAAAGGGUGCGUAGGCGGGUCUUUAAGUCAGGGGUGAAAUCCUGGAGCUCAACUCCAGAACUGCCUUUGAUACUGAAGAUCUUGAGUUCGGGAGAGGUGAGUGGAACUGCGAGUGUAGAGGUGAAAUUCGUAGAUAUUCGCAAGAACACCAGUGGCGAAGGCGGCUCACUGGCCCGAUACUGACGCUGAGGUGCGAAAGCGUGGGAGCAACAGG
rnacentral:rRNA from 1 species